GGGGGUAUAGCUCAGCUGGGAGAGCAGCAGACUGAAGUCAAUCCUUCUGAAGGUCCCGCGUUCGAUCCGCGGUACCCCCA